UUAAGCGACUAAGCGUACACGGUGGAUGCCCUGGCAGUCAGAGGCGAUGAAGGACGUGCUAAUCUGCGAUAAGCGUCGGUAAGGUGAUAUGAACCGUUAUAACCGGCGAUUUCCGAAUGGGGAAACCCAGUGUGUUUCGACACACUAUCAUUAACUGAAUCCAUAGGUUAAUGAGGCGAACCGGGGGAACUGAAACAUCUAAGUACCCCGAGGAAAAGAAAUCAACCGAGAUUCCCCCAGUAGCGGCGAGCGAACGGGGAGCAGCCCAGAGCCUGAAUCAGUGUGUGUGUUAGUGGAAGCGUCUGGAAAGGCGCGCGAUACAGGGUGACAGCCCCGUACACAAAAAUGCACAUGCUGUGAGCUCGAUGAGUAGGGCGGGACACGUGGUAUCCUGUCUGAAUAUGGGGGGACCAUCCUCCAAGGCUAAAUACUCCUGACUGACCGAUAGUGAACCAGUACCGUGAGGGAAAGGCGAAAAGAACCCCGGCGAGGGGAGUGAAAAAGAACCUGAAACCGUGUACGUACAAGCAGUGGGAGCACGCUUAGGCGUGUGACUGCGUACCUUUUGUAUAAUGGGUCAGCGACUUAUAUUCUGUAGCAAGGUUAACCGAAUAGGGGAGCCGAAGGGAAACCGAGUCUUAACUGGGCGUUAAGUUGCAGGGUAUAGACCCGAAACCCGGUGAUCUAGCCAUGGGCAGGUUGAAGGUUGGGUAACACUAACUGGAGGACCGAACCGACUAAUGUUGAAAAAUUAGCGGAUGACUUGUGGCUGGGGGUGAAAGGCCAAUCAAACCGGGAGAUAGCUGGUUCUCCCCGAAAGCUAUUUAGGUAGCGCCUCGUGAAUUCAUCUCCGGGGGUAGAGCACUGUUUCGGCAAGGGGGUCAUCCCGACUUACCAACCCGAUGCAAACUGCGAAUACCGGAGAAUGUUAUCAUGGGAGACACACGGCGGGUGCUAACGUCCGUCGUGAAGAGGGAAACAACCCAGACCGCCAGCUAAGGUCCCAAAGUCAUGGUUAAGUGGGAAACGAUGUGGGAAGGCCCAGACAGCCAGGAUGUUGGCUUAGAAGCAGCCAUCAUUUAAAGAAAGCGUAAUAGCUCACUGGUCGAGUCGGCCUGCGCGGAAGAUGUAACGGGGCUAAACCAUGCACCGAAGCUGCGGCAGCGACGCUUAUGCGUUGUUGGGUAGGGGAGCGUUCUGUAAGCCUGCGAAGGUGUGCUGUGAGGCAUGCUGGAGGUAUCAGAAGUGCGAAUGCUGACAUAAGUAACGAUAAAGCGGGUGAAAAGCCCGCUCGCCGGAAGACCAAGGGUUCCUGUCCAACGUUAAUCGGGGCAGGGUGAGUCGACCCCUAAGGCGAGGCCGAAAGGCGUAGUCGAUGGGAAACAGGUUAAUAUUCCUGUACUUGGUGUUACUGCGAAGGGGGGACGGAGAAGGCUAUGUUGGCCGGGCGACGGUUGUCCCGGUUUAAGCGUGUAGGCUGGUUUUCCAGGCAAAUCCGGAAAAUCAAGGCUGAGGCGUGAUGACGAGGCACUACGGUGCUGAAGCAACAAAUGCCCUGCUUCCAGGAAAAGCCUCUAAGCAUCAGGUAACAUCAAAUCGUACCCCAAACCGACACAGGUGGUCAGGUAGAGAAUACCAAGGCGCUUGAGAGAACUCGGGUGAAGGAACUAGGCAAAAUGGUGCCGUAACUUCGGGAGAAGGCACGCUGAUAUGUAGGUGAAGUCCCUUGCGGAUGGAGCUGAAAUCAGUCGAAGAUACCAGCUGGCUGCAACUGUUUAUUAAAAACACAGCACUGUGCAAACACGAAAGUGGACGUAUACGGUGUGACGCCUGCCCGGUGCCGGAAGGUUAAUUGAUGGGGUCAGCGCAAGCGAAGCUCUUGAUCGAAGCCCCGGUAAACGGCGGCCGUAACUAUAACGGUCCUAAGGUAGCGAAAUUCCUUGUCGGGUAAGUUCCGACCUGCACGAAUGGCGUAAUGAUGGCCAGGCUGUCUCCACCCGAGACUCAGUGAAAUUGAACUCGCUGUGAAGAUGCAGUGUACCCGCGGCAAGACGGAAAGACCCCGUGAACCUUUACUAUAGCUUGACACUGAACAUUGAGCCUUGAUGUGUAGGAUAGGUGGGAGGCUUGGAAGUGUGGACGCCAGUCUGCAUGGAGCCGACCUUGAAAUACCACCCUUUAAUGUUUGAUGUUCUAACGUUGACCCGUAAUCCGGGUUGCGGACAGUGUCUGGUGGGUAGUUUGACUGGGGCGGUCUCCUCCUAAAGAGUAACGGAGGAGCACGAAGGUUGGCUAAUCCUGGUCGGACAUCAGGAGGUUAGUGCAAUGGCAUAAGCCAGCUUGACUGCGAGCGUGACGGCGCGAGCAGGUGCGAAAGCAGGUCAUAGUGAUCCGGUGGUUCUGAAUGGAAGGGCCAUCGCUCAACGGAUAAAAGGUACUCCGGGGAUAACAGGCUGAUACCGCCCAAGAGUUCAUAUCGACGGCGGUGUUUGGCACCUCGAUGUCGGCUCAUCACAUCCUGGGGCUGAAGUAGGUCCCAAGGGUAUGGCUGUUCGCCAUUUAAAGUGGUACGCGAGCUGGGUUUAGAACGUCGUGAGACAGUUCGGUCCCUAUCUGCCGUGGGCGCUGGAGAACUGAGGGGGGCUGCUCCUAGUACGAGAGGACCGGAGUGGACGCAUCACUGGUGUUCGGGUUGUCAUGCCAAUGGCACUGCCCGGUAGCUAAAUGCGGAAGAGAUAAGUGCUGAAAGCAUCUAAGCACGAAACUUGCCCCGAGAUGAGUUCUCCCUGACUCCUUGAGAGUCCUGAAGGAACGUUGAAGACGACGACGUUGAUAGGCCGGGUGUGUAAGCGCAGCGAUGCGUUGAGCUAACCGGUACUAAUGAACCGUGAGGCUUAACCUU
rnacentral:rRNA from 1 species